AGGGAGAGAAAAGAGAAGAGGCAGAAAUAACAGCAUCUGAAACUCUGCCUGCUGGAGGCUAAUUGGUUCCGGCACAGCCUGGUUUGUUUGGCAAUGUUUCCUCUAAUCCUUCAGGCUCCCAGCUCCCAGCCCCAGGGACAUGGGCACAUCUCGUCGCCCGGCACCAACACCUCAGCCAGUGUCUCUGUGGCACUCCCAGCUUGGGUCCCUCCACCCCCGCAGAGGAGUGAUGCCAGGACUGGCUCUGCCCACCCUGCCAUGGUGGAGACAUCCUGGGGAUGAGGUCCCCUGAUGCGGUGCCAUAACCAAACUGGUGGUGUUGGAAAGGACCUCUGAAGACCAUUGAGUCCAACCCCCCUGCCAGAGCAGGAUCACAUAGAGCAGAUCACACAGGAACACAUCCAGCUCCCAACUGCCUCCAUCCCCGGAGAGGUUUCGAAGGCGAGUGACCCACGAACUGGAAUGCGCAAAGCCUCCAGCAAACAGCGCCAGCUGCCUGCGCCCGCGCAGGGGGGCGGCGAGGGGAGAGCAGCCGGCCCCACGGCACGGCACGGAUCGGCACAGCACUGCAAGGCUCAGCAUGGCACCAUGCACACGGAUGCGCAGCCCUGAUAUGGAUGCACAACCCCAACGUGGAUCCGUGACCCCAGCGUGUAUGCCUGAUCCUGACGUGGAUCCAUGAUCCCCAGCACAGAUGCCUGAUCCCAACAUGCAAUCAUGACCCCAGUGUGGAUGCCCAUUCCUGACACAGGUGCACAAUCCCAGCAUGGAUCCAUGACCUGUGUAGAUCCCUGAUCCCAACGUGGACACCUAACUGCAAUUUGUAUGCAAGAUCCUGACAUGGACACACAGCCCCAGCACAUUCUCCCUGGGUGGGCAGCUGCUCCUGUGGGGUGCCAUGGCAGCACUCCCCUGGCCUUGCCAUGUCCCCAGCACCAGCAGCCAUCACAAGAGGCUCCCAAACUCCCACGUCCUUCCCACCUCCUUCCCAGCCUGCUUUUUGGCAGCCCGAGGCCUCCCGGCACAGUGCCGAGCUGCAGGGGAGCUGCACUGGGAGGCUGCUUCACCCCUCACCCGCCUUCAAGACCUGCAUCCAAGGACCUCUAGGGCAGGGGACAGCACGGUGGCAGCGCCAGGCCCCCACCAUGGCCGGUGCCACCCUACCCCGCUGCCAGGAGGAGUCCUGACCGGUGGCACUGGGGACGGGCACGGCCCGGGCUGCCACGGGGGGCACGGUGGGGCCUGAGGCGGCUCCGUGCCCGAGGCGUCAGCGAAGCCCCCGCGCCCAGGCGCGCAGGAGGGUGUCUGGGUCUGUCACAGCCUGCUGAGCAAGUUAAUCUCAGGCUCUCUGACACGUGGAAUAAA